UGCCGCCUCGGGCGCACGCGCGCCGCCGCGGCCAAUCAGCGCCCCGCAGGCAUUGCGCAGGCGCGGCGCCUCCCUCCCCUCCGCCGUUCGGUCUUGACAAACAAAAACAUACGGGGAGUGGGCGGGGCCGAACGUGGAGGGACGGGGCCCCGCCCCCAGCCUCGGUCUCGUGCGCGCCUGCGCGGUGAGGCUGCCUCCCUGCCGGGCAGGCCCCGCCCCUUGCCGUGAGGCGUUAACUCUGAAACCUAAGGAGGGCGCGAGCUCCGUUUCACAUCCGAGACCUCCCCAUGCCGCUCCCAGGCGAUUUAUUUAUUCCUGCACAACUCGAUGAGCUCAAUAUGAAGCAUAACCGUGCGGUUUUGUCACGUUCGAACAAAAAUGUCCAGUUUUGCCUCAGACAAGGUUCCUUGGGUGAAUUUGAUGUCUUUUAUUAGACCAACAGUUUUGCCUCAGCCCCCGCCCAGACCCGACGCUUUCCAGCUGUGUGAAAGGGUUUGUAGGUAAUCAAAAGAGGAGUCAAAACAAAGAAACGGCAAGGCCCACCGGCCUCGUUCAACGCUCCCGCUGACACUGCGUCGAUUCGGGCUCCGCCGGCCCGCGUUACGCGUUGGCACGCAUCCCGGGGCCGACGUUCGCGAUCGAGGUGGGCUGUUUAAUCCUGCGUUUAGGAGCAGACGUGCUUUCCGUGCCACGCGGAGGAACACAAGCGUCGUACACAGCGGUCUGCGAAUCUCAUUCUACGCGACACCUACCGUUGGGAUUGUCCUCGCCCAAGAUAGCCGCUAAAGGAUGUUUUCAGUCAAGCGACGCCUCUUCGCAGCUCGGUGGUUUUCCUGUUGUAAGCUGGAAAUUGUUUCCUGUCAGGCGAUGCGCCGACACGGUCCUGCUCGCACCAGACGUCUCGGGUUUUUUGAAUGCCAGAGAGGCCGCGGCGUGUUGCAUCUCCUCCCUGUGCUUCUGCUGCCUGAGCCGGUCUAGGUCACGAGAUGAAAAACGGGGCCCGGAAUCACAUUUGAGACGCCACGUUGUGCCUUUGAGCAAAGCAGUUAUGCCACAGUGGGAUGUGUCAUGACAUGGUGAUGUUAACUGAUCCUGGGAGGCGACGGAUUAAUUCAGGUAUAAGUACUUCAGUGUACCCCAUUUGCCCCUGACCGCGACAGGCUUCUUGAAAGAGGAAUUCGGGGCUCUGAGCGCAUUAAGAGAAGCUGAAACUCGACUUUGUCGGUGUGAUCUUCCUUCAUGCAGAUCUCACACCCAAGGUCUGUUGCUUUCUUCCUCUUCUUUGCCCUUGGUUUCUCAGUUUGCUCUUCUUUCUGAAUUUCCUCGCAGGCCUGCCCACAGUCUGUCCUUUUGGUCGCAAUACACUUCCUACAAGCUGUCUCGUCUCUGCAGCGUUGUCUUCCCAGGUGACACAGAACAAACUUUCUAGUCCCAACGGACCUUCCGGUCCCAAUUCUCAUUCCCACCUGCUGUGAAACUUCCUGUCCCAAAUGCCACAAAAACAGACAGUCCCAACAAUUUCGACAUGUCCUAAUCCCAGCAGCUGUGGGCCCUUCCGGGUGCAAUCACUCGCCCAGCCUGCUUGUCUUUUCCAUCUUUACCUAUCCAACAUUUCAGUCUAACUGGCUGCAGACCUUUGCUGCCAGCUAAGCUACAGGCCUAGAAACCUCCCCUACCCCGAGAGAGUGCUUAGUGCUGCGACAGAUCACACUAAAGGGAUGGGCAAUGGGAUGAUGGAAAAUCAAGGUUAUGUUAAUCUAUGGGAGCAGGUCACAGAAGCCCCUGCACUUGGAGCAUUUACCAGGUGACAUAAAGCUGGAGUUUUGCUGCAGAUCCCAGUCUUUGCCCACAGAGGACAAAGUCUUCAUUCAUCAGACAGCUGCUUUAGCAAUACACUGCCUACAUGAUGGCAGUGCAGCCCAAAGUGCAUUCUCCACACAUUGACCUCUUUUCUCCCAGCCUAGAUAGUCUCAGUGGUGCCUGCCCUCCCCCAAAGAGCUCUUAAUGAUAUGUGUCACAGGGCACCUCGGUGCCUGCUCCUAGGGAGUAGAGACUGCCAGGGAGAGAGCGCCCUGGCAGGACAUAACGAGCCCAGCUGAGGGUGGCCAGGGUAACGAGCGCAGCUGCGGGUUGCCGGAGUAACUAAGGGGAGCCAGCUGCCUGUAGGAGGCAGGGCCUGGCUCUUAUAAAACCCAGGGCUGAGGCCAGGCUGGCAGUUCUCUGCCAGCGGCUGGAGAGGCAGGAGCUCCCUCAGUCAAGUUAUGGGUAGAAGUCUGAUUGCAAGUAUAGCUCACAAUAGCUCUGGAGGCUUGAGCCAUGAUGCUAAAUUAUAGCCAGGUGGCUUAUGUUAAGUUAUAGCCUAGGGGCUUGUUUUGCUUUGGUGUUGUGUAUUACACCGGUGGUUUGGGAGAGGCUAUUAGGGGUUGGAGGAGGCCUCAUGGGGACCCCAGAGGGGUGGGGCCCCAGUGCCUGAGGAGGGUGCAUUGUCUUCAUAGGGACCCCAUAGGAGUGGGGGACCCUAGUGCCUGGGAAGGGCGCAGUAGGUUUAAAGGGGCCUCACGUCGGAGCGUGAGGACCCUGAUGCCAGUAAGGGCGUCGCUUGUGGGGUGCAUAGACCUGAGCCCCAGGGAGGGGCACUUAAGAGCCCAGCAAGGGCAUAGAGAGCCCCAAAAGGGAGCAGUAUUAUUGAGGAGCCCAGCGGGGCCCAGAAGGUCCCAGACCAUUGCGAGGCCCAAGUUGGGCAAUGAUUGAGAGGCCCAAAGGGGGCCAUAUGUGAGGAGCCCUAGAGAGGGGCAGUACUUGAGGAGUCGGUGACAGGCCUGCACUGCAGGAAAACCCAGAAGGGCAGUGCUGCGGUGACCCUGGGGAAAAAGGGGGUAGUAGUGCGAUAAGCCCGAGGGACAGGGUGCUGCGGUGACCCCGGGGAAAAAGGGGAUAGCGGCACAGCGUGUAGGAAAGGGGAAGCAGUGCGGUGGGCCUAAAAGACCGGUGACCCGAUAAGAAGUCCUAGAGUGGACAAGAGUCCCGAGGAGGGGCGUAUUUUAGGGAAAGCCCGGAGGGGGCAUAUCGAGAGCCCCAAAGGAAGUAGUUUAGAGAGAGAGAGCCCAGAAAAGGGGUACACUAGGAGCCCCGAGCGGGGCGACGUUAGGGAAGGCCCUAGAAGGAGAAGGCACGCAUACAGAGAAGGCCCGAGAGAGCGGGCAAGCAUUGAGGUUGACAGUCCAACGUCUGGUACAUCUGCGAGGCUUGGGGCGUAGUAUUAGGGGUUGGUAGGAGCCAUGCAUAGCCCAUAAGGCUAGGGUGCCUGGGGAGCACCCAUCAUCCCGGGAGACCCCAGGGGGGUCCCGGAACACACAGGGACAGAGGUCCCGGCUAACUGCCCAGGGAAUCGUAGGCAGCCUCCCAACUUUACACUAAACAGCAAAGACGUGGCGGGCGAGAAUUGAGGAAGCCUUGGGCUGACCUGGCACGGUAAAGGGGGCCACAAGGAGCUCAAGGCCCUCCUGAAGGACCCCGCUGCUACAAUAUGACAGCACAGCAGCAGCAGAGACUUUGUCUUGCCAAGGCAGUGAGCACCCUUCCAUCUGCUUCUCUGCACACACAGACCCUGGAAAUGAGCUAGUGAAGACGGACGCCCUUGGAGUGCCCUAAGCUGCUGCUCUGGACAAUGCCGGAAGCCCAGCAUGCCUGUGCCACUUCAUUUCCCAGUGGAAUCCACAGACUGAAGACAAAUUGGGGAAAAAAGGUGAAUUCCUGCAUCUGUUCUCCCUCUCCAAAAGAUCUUCCCUCACCAGCCUUCUAACAAGUCCCUUGCCUGCCUUGCCGCCUGAGCUCAGCACUGACCCUGCCGAGAUCCAGACAGGGAAAUGAGACUGAAAAGGAAAAUGCUUUUGUUGAUUUCCGCCCCCCCCCCCCCCCCUUUAUCUCAAAACCAACAUGCCAGCCCUGCAGGGGGGCAGUGAACCCAGCACAUUCCCCAGCUGCAGCCAUACCGUUGGGAUCCUGUCUGGCCUCAGGAGCAUAAUUGUUCUAGAGACCUCUCGGGAAAACACCAGGCCCAAUUCCCACAGCCGUGCACCAGCUGGAGUCACUGAACAGAGUGCUGCAAGUUCAAAAUGCUGCCACACUACAAUGCAGGGUAACGUUGCCUCUGACUUUACACAAAGAAGGGGAAAAGCCAACCACAACUCGCUGGAAAAACUGAACUGGUAACUCAGUGGGCAGCGCUUGCUCAUGCUAAGGAGUGUUGGGCCAGUCUCUUGGCUGAAACAAGGCCAUGAACUUUUGGAGUCAGUAAUGAUCACUGGUUCCUUUUCACAAGAUUCAGGGUGUUAACCUCACUACCAAAUUCCAGCUAGGUCCUUUCCUUCCCUGUCUGUAAACUCCCUCUGUGAGGUACAUUACUCCACUUUAUGUCUUAAAUUCUUGCCUGAUAUUGCUAUGUGCAUCUUUGUCUUGUUCCAUCCCAGAGGCAGCUGCAUCUUAGUAAUAAAUGGACUGAUCUCUA